rnacentral:lncRNA from 1 species
GCCAAGUCAAGAAGGAGCUCAGCCACUAUCUCCCCACCGAGCCAGCUCAGCGGGCAGGGCUGGGAGGGAGUGGGACAGAUUCUGGGAGUGCAGCGGGGAGGAGUCCCGGCUGGGCUGAGCGCAGGGAGCUGCUUGGCAGUGCCAGAGCCCAGGCCCCAGAGCCCUGCUGGAGAGGAGGCAGACUGAGGCAGCAGGCCCCGCCAGCAGGCGAAGCAGGGAGAUGUCAGACUGCUACACGGAGCUGGAGAAGGCAGUCAUUGUCCUGGUGGAAAACUUCUACAAAUAUGUGUCUAAGUACAGCCUGGUCAAGAACAAGAUCAGCAAGAGCAGCUUCCGCGAGAUGCUCCAGAAAGAGCUGAACCACAUGCUGUCGCAUUGCUGACCCUGCUUCCUCCCCAGGACACAGGGAACCGGAAGGCUGCGGAUAAGCUCAUCCAGAACCUGGAUGCCAAUCAUGAUGGGCGCAUCAGCUUCGAUGAGUACUGGACCUUGAUAGGCGGCAUCACCGGCCCCAUCGCCAAACUCAUCCAUGAGCAGGAGCAGCAGAGCAGCAGCUAGAGACCCCUUUGGCCACACCUUCCAGGCACUGGCCUGAUGCCCCGCCCUGGUGCUCUCCCCAGGCUCCCUCCUCAGCCUCCUG